rnacentral:rRNA from 1 species
AAAGAUCUAAAUGUAUUAUAAUUUUUUUGUGUCAGAAAAAUUUUUAAAAUAUAUUUAGUUGUAAAAUUCUAAUCGCUUUUAUUUAUAUCUAGUAACUUUAGAAGUAAAUUUAGUUUAUGAUAAUUAGAAACAUUUUAUUUUUAAUAAGUUUUAAAAUUAUUUUUAAAUUUAUGGGGAUGAGCUCAUAAAUAAACUUAAAAGAAUAUAACUAUUAGUAAUUUUUUUGUAAGCUUAGAAUUAGCUAUUAGAAAAUGUUAUAAAAAAUAAACUUAAAUAUUAGAUUUAAAUUUCUUUUUUGAAUAUAAAGUUAAUUAAAAAACUAAUUUAUUUUUGAAAAUAUGAUAAUAUUAGUAGAUAAAAUUGUUUUGAAUUGAUUAUAAAUCAUUCUUUUUCAUUUUAUAUAUAAACUUUAACAAAAGAACUAGGCAAACAAAAUUUCCGAAUGUUUAACAAAAACAUUUCCUCUUAGAUGAAGAGGUAAGGCCUGCUCACUGAUUUUUAAAGAGCCGCAGUAUUCUAACUGUGCUAAGGUAGCAUAAUCAUUAGUCUUUUAAUUGGAGACUGGUAUGAAUGGCUUAACGAGAAAUUAACUUUUUUUGUUAUAAAGAUUGAAUUUAAUUUUUUAGUGAAAAAGCUAAAAUUGUUCAGAAAGACGAGAAGACCCUAUAGAGUUUUAUGUUUAAAAGAAUAAAUUUUUAUUAGAUUUAUGAAUUAUUUAUUUUUAUAUACAUUUUGUUGGGGCGACAUAAAGAUAAAUAAAACUCUUUAUAUUAAAAAUUUUUGUAAAAAUAUUUUUGAUCCUUUAUAAGAGAUUAUAAGAAAAAAUUACCUUAGGGAUAACAGCGUAAUCUUUUUUAAGAGUUCUAAUCGACAAAAAGGUUUGCGACCU